rnacentral:tRNA from 1 species
GCCUUCGGGGUGUAACUGAAAGCAUACUCGACGGGUAUUCGAGAGGUUCAGGGUUCGAAUCCCGGUGAGGGCU